rfam:Exidia glandulosa HHB12029 unplaced genomic scaffold EXIGLscaffold_27, whole genome shotgun sequence.
GGGGUUGUAGCUCAGUGGUAGAGCGCGUGAUUUGCAUUUAAGCUUGCUUUCCCGAGGUCUAGGGUUCAAUCCCCUGCAACUCCA